AAAUUGAAGAGUUUGAUCAUGGCUCAGAUUGAACGCUGGCGGCAGGCCUAACACAUGCAAGUCGAACGGUAACAGGAAACAGCUUGCUGUUUCGCUGACGAGUGGCGGACGGGUGAGUAAUGUCUGGGAAACUGCCUGAUGGAGGGGGAUAACUACUGGAAACGGUAGCUAAUACCGCAUAAUGUCGCAAGACUAAAGAGGGGGACCUUCGGGCCUCUUGCCAUCGGAUGUGCCCAGAUGGGAUUAGCUAGUAGGUGGGGUAACGGCUCACCUAGGCGACGAUCCCUAGCUGGUCUGAGAGGAUGACCAGUCACACUGGAACUGAGACACGGUCCAGACUCCUACGGGAGGCAGCAGUGGGGA
rnacentral:rRNA from 1 species